ensembl:snRNA U6atac minor spliceosomal RNA
UUGUUGUAUGAAAGGAGAGAAGGUUAGCACUCCCCUUGACAAGGAUGGAAGAGGCCCUGGGGCCUGACAACGUGCAUACGGUUAAGGCAGUGCUACCUACUUCAUGGCAUCUAACCACUGUUUUUA